ACUCAAAUGAAUUGACGGGGGCCCGCACAAGCGGUGGAGCAUGUGGUUUAAUUCGAUGCAACGCGAAGAACCUUACCCAGGUUUGACAUGCACCGGACAGGUGUGGAAACACACCCUCCCUUCGGGGCCAGUGCACAGGUGCUGCAUGGCUGUCGUCAGCUCGUGUCGUGAGAUGUUGGGUUAAGUCCCGCAACGAGCGCAACCCUUGUCCCUAGUUGCCAGCGAGUACAGUCGGGCACUCUAGGGAGACUGCCGUCGAUAAGGCGGAGGAAGGUGGGGAUGACGUCAAGUCCUCAUGGUCCUUACACCUGGGGCUACACACGUGCUACAAUGGCUGGUACAAAGGGUUGCAAUGCCGCGAGGUGGAGCCAAUCCCAAAAAGCCAGCCUCAGUUCGGAUUGCAGUCUGCAACUCGACUGCAUGAAGGCGGAAUCGCUAGUAAUCGCUGAUCAGCAGGCAGCGGUGAAUAUGUUCCCGGGCCUUGUACACACCGCCCGU
rnacentral:rRNA from 1 species